rnacentral:lncRNA from 1 species
GUGGGGUUAUGACCAGGAACAAUGACCUGUUACAUGUCUAAACAUAUAUUGAAUGUUAGAUCUUUUUACUCUUUUCUAAUUAUUUUUUGUCAUCAAAUUUACAGAAAAGUCAUAACAGACAAUACUCAAAAUAAUGGCCUCAGGGAUGAGAGUCACGAGCGCCAUGAAAAAUUCAGGAAUAAAACAUGUCAAGUUGGGUGUCAGGUUAUAGAAAUGUCCCAACAAACAUCUUCCAGAGAAGACUCUUUUCCUCAAGGAUUCCAGCAAAUUAGUAGAGAGCAUAUGGCCAGUAUCUUCUGUAAGAUCCACAGCCAACACUGUAACCCAGGGGGUAGCCAAAGCUGCCCCAGUAGCAGCCUGGGAAGACGGCCUCAGAGAAGUUGUUGAACUGCAUGUUGUCAGGAGUGGAUGUCUUAGGUAGGAGGGAACUGUGUUUCUUUGGUGUGAUG